GACGUAGGGUCCGAGCGUUGUCCGGAGUUACUGGGCGUAAAGGGCGCGUAGGCGGCUUUGUGCGUCACCCGUGAAAGCCCCCGGCUCAACCGGGGAGGGUCGGGUGAAACGGCGGAGCUGGAGGCAGCGAGAGGCUGGUGGAAUUCCUGGUGUAGCGGUGAAAUGCGCAGAUAUCAGGAGGAACACCGACGGCGCAGGCAGCGUCCUGGCCGCUUGCUGACACUGAGGCACGAAAGCUGGGGGAGCAAACAGG
rnacentral:rRNA from 1 species